UACGAGGGGGGCGAGCGUUGUUCGGAAUUAUUGGGCGUAAGGGGUGCGUAGGCGGCCUGACAAGUCUGAUGUGAAAUCCCUGGGGCUCAACCCAGGGCCUGCAUCGGAAACUGUCGGGCUUGAGUAUGGGAGAGGUGAGUGGAAUUUCCGGUGUAGCGGUGAAAUGCGUAGAUAUCGGAAGGAACACCUGUGGCGAAAGCGGCUCACUGGACCAUUACUGACGCUGAGGCACGAAAGCUAGGGGAGCAAACAGG
rnacentral:rRNA from 1 species